ensembl:lncRNA
UCUGAGGACUUGAACCAGGCACCAAUGGUCUGAGAGUUGAACCCCCAACCCCCUACCUGGUCCACUAUGUUCAGAUAAUGCAAACUUACGAGGAAUCCUUGAUGGUAGAGUCCUGGUCGUCCUCAGGAUUUGCCUUCCAGAUGUAUGGCUUCUCCGUCAGUCCUCCAGAUUCCUGGUCUGGUUACAAACGUAGUUUGGCUCUAAUGUAAGGUCACAAACACAGGAGUAGGUGGGCUCUAAUGUAAGGUAACAAACACAGGAGUAGGUGGGCUCUAAUGUAAGGUCACAAACACAGGAGUAGGUGGGCUCUAAUGUAAGGUAACAAACACAGGAGUAGGUGGGCUCUAAUGUAAGGUAACAAACACAGGAGUAGGUGGGCUCUAAUGUAAGGUAACAAACACAGG